CUACAUUUUAGUUAUUCAAACUAUCAUUUGUUAAUUAAGUUCAGAUGUUGUAGGUGAACAAUUUGAGCUGUGUUUACCUUCUCUUGGGCCUGGAUCUCUCCAGCAAUUUUGGUCAGCUGAUGGGUCAGCUGGGGUUGUGGGGUUUAUGACAUCUUUGCUAAGAUGGCUCGGAUGACUAUAGACUCUUCCUCUGAUUGUCUCAGGGUUCCAAGAGCCACAGGAGAGAACAAACCCCAGGGCACAAACACAUUUCAAGUAUCUUCUUGCCUUACAUUGCUAUUAAUCCAUUGGCUGAAGCAAGUCACACAGCAAGUACAGAAUCAGGUGGAGUUAAUUGCAAAUGACUCACAAGCAAAUAACAUUUCCUCCAGCAAUCCACUGCAAACAAUGGAGCUCUGAUUUCUCCCACCAAAUCCUGCCGCCUUGCCCCAGCUUCCAUGACCUUCCCUCAUUUAUCACCAUUGCUCUAAAUGAGUCACACAUACCAAUACAAAAGGCCCUCAAACUGUUGACUCAGUGGCUCCUUUCUGCUAAAAGUGGCUUCUAAAAGCAUGUGGACGCUUCUUGAAAAUUGAAUUCUAGUUUCUCAUCAAAUGGAAAAAUAACUUUUCCUCAGGAUACAAAAAUCAUUCAUUGAUUGAACCAACUUCAGAUUCUUUUAGUGGUGGCCACAUGGUAUACUUUCUGGAGAUUAAUUCUGAGUUAAAAGCUCAGAGGAAAAGGUGGCUUGAUCUAUUUUUGAGUCUGCCACAGGCCUUGGAGGGGGAGCAGUGAAAGUUACAUCAGAUAUCUGACAUUCUAGUCCCACUUUUUUCUUUUCUUUUUUUUUUUUUUUUUUUUUUGAGACAGGGUCUGACUAUGUUGCCAAGGCUGGAGUACAGUGGCACAAUCUCAGCUUACUGCAACCUGGCUCAAGCAAUCCUCCCACCUCAGCCUUACUUGUAACUGGGACUACCAUGCCACCAUACCCGGCUAAUUUUUGUAUUUUUUUGUAGAGACGAGGUCUCGCUAUGUUUCCCAGGCUGGUCUUGAACUCUUGGGCUCAAGAAAUAUACCCAUCUUGGCCUCCCAUAGUGCUCAGAUUACAGGUGUGAGCCACUGCACUCGGCCUCCUCACUUUUUACAUGAGAAAACCAAGGCCUAGAGAGGUUAAGUGACUUCUGUAAGUCUCCUGGUGAGGUAAUGGUGGAAUUGGGGUUAGAAACCAGUUCUGCAUACUUACUAUCGAAUAUCACUGUAUGAGGAAUUGGCAGAAUAGCUAACAAUGGCUGACAUUUCUUAAAAAAUCACUAUAUCCUUGCUAUGUGUGGUAGAUUAAAUUAUUGUUUAUAACUCAUUUCUUCCCCCAGAAUCUCCAAUCCACAGGCAAAUGAGAAGUAUGUGCUUGUUGUAUGACACUGAGCUUUUGUGGUUGUCACGCAGCAAUAGCUGACUAAGACAGUAAUUGGUAUCUGAAGUGGAAUGCUUUCAUAACCAAAACCUGAAAUAUGCGGCACUGGCUUUGAGACUGGGUGGCAGGUGGUGAGGGAAGUGUUGUAGGAGGCUAGUAAAAUGGCACUCACAUUAUGUAAUGGCAAAACAUUUGGUAAAGCUGUCACUUGCAAUAGCCUGGAAGGUAAAGAAUGUGCCUGAAGCAUUUGUCAAAUUGGAUGAAGAGACUCUGGGGCAGGCUGGUGAAAGUAUGAGCUGACUACUGCUAAUUGCAUUAAACUCAAGGAGGAAUUGGCCGGCUUGCAAGCAGAGAACUUCAAGGAACUAUAAAGAGGCCAGAAAUUGCGAGGUGGGAAAACAAAACAAUGCCUUACCAGACAAGAGGUGUGGCCACUACAACAUAGCCUCAGGAGAUGAAAUUUAGCAGUUUCAUCUGUAAAAUUUUUGUGGGUUGUUUUGCAGCCAUAGCUGUCUGAUGGGUACUCUACCUGUCACUUUGCAUGCAUUAUCUCAUUUAACCAUUAUAGUAAUCCCAGAAUGUAGAUGUUAUUAUUUCCAUUUUACAGAUGUUGAAACUGAGGCGUAGAGAGGUUUUGAAACAGGCCCAGGGUCACACAGCUGUGUGAGGCAAACCCAGAGUUAGAACUCAGUGGUGGAGGCUAGGCAUGGUGGCUCACACCUGUAAUCCCAGCACCAUGGGAAGCUGAGGCAGGUGGGUCAUCUGAGGUCAGGAGUUUGAGACCAGCCUGGCCAACAUGGUGAAAUGCUGUCUAUACUAAAAAUACAAAAAUUAGCCGGGCAUGGUGGUGGGCACCUGUGAUCCCAGCUACUUGGGAGGCUAAGGCUGGAGAAUUGCUUGAACCCAGAAGGCGGAGGUGCAGUGAGCCGAGAUCAUGCCACGGUACUCCAGCCCGAAUAACAGAGAGAGACUCCAUCUCAAAAAAUAAAAAAAGCAAAACAAACA
rnacentral:lncRNA from 13 species